GAGUCUGGCCCAGAGCCGGAUCGCUGCUGUCUGUCGGGUGAGCGCCCGCCUGCGCAGGUAGACAGAGAGAGAGAGCCGAGUACGCGGUGCCCUACGUCUUCGUCGGAGGGAGGUGGAGGUGGAGGAGCGGCGGCCGCUACAGCCAGGGCGGGAGGCCGGUGGCGGUCCACAGCGACUCCCCCAGGUCGCGGUCCCUCUAGUGGGCGCUGCGCGACGACGUCUUCCAGAGGCUCCUCGCGGUCGAGGCGUCGGUGGAGGCGGCGCGGCGGCGGCGGCGGGAGUGGUAGGUCGCUUAUACCUCUUCUAUGGUAGAAUAGUCUUUCCAAUGUCUUGUUGAAGUACUUCUCACCCUUCAUAAUCAUUUGGUCGGACUGUAGUUGGACUGUUUAGUUACCUAUAGCUCGUUCUACGAAUCCGGUAAAGAAAAGAAGUAAUGAGUUGGUAGUUCGACCAUGUUAACCGUUGUCUGGUUCUGACACUUCAGAUAGAGUUCUACGAAGUUUUAGUAGAACUUAUCGUAUUUGAGUUACCUAGCUUCGUUUUUGAAGACAAGGAAACGACACCCAAAAGGUCUUCUCUCCAGAUAAACCGAAAUAGUCCGUUUCUUCGACUAAAGCGACACGAGAACGUAAGAACGGUCCACACUAGUAACAACAACAUUCCUACAUUUGUACCAACUUUAAUCAUGAGAAUGAUACGCCAACCGGUAGAGUAAUUGACUAACGUUUUGUACCUUUUUGAAUUGUUCACUCUUAUGAUCUCGACGACUACGGAGACACCUCUGAAACUAACUUAAAUAACCGUGUUCUGUCUCACCAUGUAUAUCCACACACUCCUCUAUAUAUUUUACAAAACCAGGGGUACAAUGGGGUCCCUUCUAUCUAAGACGCUAACGUGGUCUACUCGUCGAGGACCAAUGACGAUCACGUCAGUGAGAACGUAACGCGGGAAAGUUGAGAUGUUCUCGUCUGUACCCACAACUAGAUUGACCACGACGUUUCCUUAUGAAGUGUGAAUAUGAGUGUUAAGGCAUAUAAACGUUUGCAGACGGCGGAGAAGAAAAUGGACGAGAUUUUGUGUAUAGACAUGACGUUGGCAGAGAGUCGUAAAAUGACCCAGAAGUUUAAAACUAUACCUGUAUCCGUAAACCAUACGACAACGUAAUUAAAAGAUAUCUUCGAAAACGAGAGGUUCCUCAGUCUGUAACUUGAUUAUUUAAGGACACAAAGACUGUACUAUUACUCAACGAGAUAGGCACAUCAUAAGGAGUUAACAACGUCGAACUUUGGACAUACAAUAUCAACUAGGCGAUUAUAAAAACUUCACCAUUAACAAAAUAAGAAUGAAAAAUCAAUAUAUAUGAAACAAUCACCAGAUACAUGACGACAUAUUAAGAAAUACUGUGAUCGAUAAUUUAAAAUUAAAUAGUAAGGUCGCCAAUUACAAUUCAAUUGGUCAACGUUUAAGCACUUUCUAUAAUAAGGUAAUGGUACAAGAUUGGUAGACGUUCAAGAAUCCGGAUCAUAAAGAUAUAUCACUGUUGAGUAGUGACACCGUAGAACUAAUUUUUUCAACUAAGGUAACAUUCACGUCUUAACAUCACAGGACUGUGCAAGUAGGAAGAUCCCUAUGGUUUUUCAAAUAUUAAAUCAACCACACUAAAAAAAUUUAUAACCUUAAAUUUACAGCUUGACUAGUUCGGUACCGUCCACCAUCGUCUGGAGCUUCCUAUUUUAUAAACUUCUUUAUUCAUUUGACCUCGUCAGUCUCCAAAGAUCACAACUAUUGUCAUGGUAAGGGAUGACACCAACCCGAGAACCUUUAGAAUAUUGAGAUCGGUGCCUCGUACUACUAAAUAGGUUAAACCCAACGAAGUAAGUUCCCGAUCUAACAACGGAUAUACAACUACGAUAAUUGGCAUAAAGGGUUUUGAAUGACUUUACAAAACUUCUUUCGUUCCCUUACGAAGUAACGUAACUACUAUCCCGGCGGUUAUUAUGUAGUUAAUGGCUUCUUCGACUGUGGUCACUAUCGACGGCGUGCUCUUGUAACAAAUACCUGGAAGAUUUCGGUUAAAUGGUCGUCACCGUGGAAUCUUUCGAUAACUAUAACCGUUUCCUCCUACAAGGCGCGCUCUCCCUUUGGUUGGUACUGGAUCUAGUUUCCGUCCAGUUUACAGCCUCGGAUUUCAAUUGCCUAUAAUAUACGAAAAUGAUAAUGUACGAGUCUUAAAAGAGAAGGGACUUGGGUAGAUAACCAGGUAACGGAUAAGAGUUGUACGAGAGUAAGUGGGGCCCUAAAGAACAACUAAACACCCCUUGCAAUCUUUAUAGUUAAAAACCCGUUUGACCGGUGUUUAGUGUCCUUGGACUCGUACUUUUUGUUAACCGACCUUCAUCAAGUCCACUCGUUUAUAGGAGGUGUUUCGUUUCUGCCUUACGGUUCCUAUGUGGUUUUUUCACCCGUUUACACAAGGUAUUCUAAUGUCCUUUUAGUUUACUACGUCUACUGUGGUUAAACUCACUGUCAAACUGAAGACUCUUAAGAUUACUGCUACGUAAUUAAAACACCCUAUAGCUCUGAUACUCCGUUCCUAGACUUCCAUAGCCCUUCCUACAUUUAGUGUACAACGUAGACAAGACACGUUAUAUACCUGUAGAUAAUGAACACGAUCUACUAUAACUCAAAAUACUCUUUGUCUAAGGAAAAUGAGAUCUCGUUGUUGCCUUCUAACGUAGUCGUGAGUUAUGCAAACACAUAUUGAGAAAGGAAGUCUUAUCACCUUCACCGUUGUUCGGAGAAUAACUGCACUGACACUCUACAGAAUUAGAUGAGAUACUUUCCCUGUCGUCUGUGUCCAAGACAGGGUCAAGAGACACCAACAGUGGGCGGUCUUGACCGUCUUAAGGUUAACGUCGACGACGGUCUCGGGUACUCCGUCGGAAACGAUCAAAUCAGCCUUGAUGAAGUCCUUAAGGAUGGGCGUCGAGACAUGAAUGGUGUCAUGGUGUACAUAUAGGCAAACUCCUCUCUCACGUCUACAAAUCUCUUAAAUAACUCAAUCUGUUUCGUAGUUCUUCUCGAUUGCCACUUCAGAGACCCGGUCCAGGUCCUAGGUAGCUCUAUCAGUAAGCAGCUCCAGUAUAGCAACUUCUACCUAUAUCCGUCAACUUAACAGAAUCUAGAUUCGACUUUAGAACGUAAGUACACAGCAAACAGUCACUUACACCGGAGGGACUUCGACCAAACCUGAUACCACCAGAUAGUUUCCUCAAGAAUUGACUAGACAGGUUCCGACGGAAGUCAGGUCUUAUACCUGACAAAUGUGUUUGUAGUUGUAGACUAUCAUCGUAUUAAGGUUCGUCAAGGCGAUUCGAAAACCUGUUACCGUAACUAUACUAACUUAAAGAACCAGCUCAACAGCCGUUUCGUGAGAUACUCCCCUAGGAGAACCUGAUGACAAAAAGUGUUCAUAAACACGUUUUUGAAGAUCCCGCGAUAUCAAAAAACCUACUUAAUAGUUGUGAACUAAGACUUGAAAUGUCUUCAGAUUACGUUGAGUUCGUGAUACUGCCCCUGCAGCUUCUUGAAACAAACCUAAAAUGAGACUGACUUCUCAAUCCGCCCUUUUCUUAGCACGUACUUGACUCUGGCCCACCGUUUUUAUAGAGACAAUGUUUACUUUUAUCUAACGUGAUACAAGUACGCUACCGUCUGAUGUUCGAAUUGGCGGUCUAUGAAGGCAAAAGUUUACGUAAAAUGUCUCCUGAAUCACUAGAGUAGAGUGGUAGAACCGACUCGAACAAAUUACGUUUACUUAAAUUGGUCAAUGAAAGUCCACCUAGAGUCCUAAAACUACAACUACUAGACGCCUUGUUGUGGUUCAUGUGACCACCGAUAUGGCUCAGUUCAGCUUGACAAUUUGAGAAAACCCUCCAAUAGUUUCCCAAAUUCGGCUGUCUUGCGACGGACGAUGACUUCAAACACUGCUCGACGAGCGCUCGGGGCAACGAGCCUAAGUUCAUGAACGUCGGACCAAAGUGUUAAGUGUUCCAAGGUACGCUACACUGUGAAACCCGAAGUUAGCCUCCCGUUCUGCACCUGGCGGAGGGUAGACGAAGCUGUACGAUGUUAUGCGAGUUCGAAGGCUGCAUGUUCGCCAGCUCGUGCGACUCCUCGUUCGACGACAUGCGCUAGUCGAGUUUGUGGCCCAAACUUGACAGCAUCCGCCACCUCCAUGCAAACGGCACGCACGAGACGACGACACUUAUCUAACCUCUCUCCACGUCGCUUUAACAUAGUCUUUGGACUUGUAGAACGGCAUUUACAUAACAACACGAACUAGUGACUAAACAAAACCCACCUCACCUAACAGUACUCGGCUACAAGCUGGGGAAAAAACAGAUGGAAACACCGACUAAAAAUUGAUGUAUAUAUAACAUAUAUUUUAUUCGUCUCGCGUUGUGCCAUACUUUUAACAGCCUCUGAAGGCCAACUUCCUAAUAAACUUUUCUUUCUAACAAAUGAGGCAGACUAGG
rnacentral:rRNA from 1 species